GGGGAGAGCCAAUCGCUUCAGCUCCAGAGAUCUCACAGCUAGAUGGACAGUUGUUGUGGUUCAGUCGCUCAGUUGUGUCCGACUCUUUUGUGACCCCUGGACUAUAACCCAUGAGGCCUUCUGUCCAUGGGAUUUCCCAGGCAAAAACACUGGAGUGGUUGCUAUUUCUUCUCCAGGGGAUCUUCCCAACCUAGGGAUCGAAGCUGCAUCUCCCACAUUGGCAGGCUGAUUCUUUACCACUGAGUCACCAGGGAGGCGGAUGGACAGUAGGUUGGUUUAACUCUACACACAGAGUCUCACCUCUCAGCCUUCAGGUGAAGAACCGGACACCCAGAGAGAGGUGAGUUGCCUAAGGACACCUGGCUAAUUAAUGCUCACUUAAUACAACUGGGAAAAUCACUUGCUGACAUAGUUGUUUUUAUAAAAGCUUUUAAUGAAAACUUUGUUGACACUGUUUUUGAACAAAACAGAUCACAGAGGGUCUUCUGUGGAUAGUGAACAGGCAAUUAGUGGAGAGCAACAGGACAUGCAGGUCCUUGGGAGCUCACUGGCCGCAGGGGAUGAGGUAGAAGCUGCAGAAGCUCUUUCGAAGGCGGCAUCUCAGAUUUGGAUUAUUAGCAUCCACUGGAGAUGGUGACUGCAGCCAUGAAAUUAAAAGACGCUUGCUCCUUGGAAGGAAAACUAUGACCAACAUAGACAGCUUAUUCAAAAGCAGAGACAUUACUUUGUCAACAAAGGUCCGUCUAGCCAAAGCUAUGGUUUUUCCAGUAGUCAUGUAUGGAUGUGAGAGUUGGACUAUAAAGAAAGUGAAGAAUUGAUGCUUUUGAACUGUGGUGUUGGAGAAGACUCUUGAGAGUCCCUUGGACUGCAAAGAGAUUCAACCAGUCCAUCCUAAAGGAGAUCAGUCCUGGGUAUUCUUUGGAAGGACUGAUGUUGAAGCUGAAACUCCAGUACUUUGGCCACCUGAUGCGAAGAGCUGACUCAUAAUCUCUUUAACAAGUGGUGCUGGGAAAACU
rnacentral:lncRNA from 1 species